rnacentral:rRNA from 1 species
AACGUAGGUGGCAAGCGUUAUCCGGAUUUACUGGGCGUAAAGGGUGUGCAGGCGGGGAAGCAAGGGGUGUAUGAAAUCUCCAGGCUUAACCUGGAGGGGUUAUGCCAGACUGCUUUUCUAGAGGACGAGAGAGGGGGGUGGAAUUCCGGGUGUAGUGGUGAAAUGCGUAGAUAUUGGGAGGAACACCGGUGGCGAAGGCGCUGCUCUGGGCCGGUACUGACGCUGAGGAGCGAAAGCGUGGGUAGCAAACAGG